CGGGCCCAUACCCCGAAAAUGUUGGUAUAAACUCCUUCCUAUACUA
rnacentral:tRNA from 1 species